GCCAGCAUGGUUUAGUGGUUUGAGCACUGGACUGCAACUCUGGAGACCAGGGUUUGAAUCCCUCCACCGACA